GGGCGCGUAGCUCAGUUGGUUAGAGUACGUCGUUGACAUCGACGGGGUCAGAGGUUCGACUCCUCUCGCGCCCA
rnacentral:tRNA from 1 species